rnacentral:rRNA from 1 species
UACAGAGGUGGCAAGCGUUGUUCGGAAUUACUGGGCGUAAAGGGCGCGUAGGCGGCCAUCUAAGUCAGACGUGAAAUCCCCCGGCUUAACCUGGGAACUGCGUCUGAUACUGGAAGGCUUGAGUAUGGGAGAGGGAUGUAGAAUUCCAGGUGUAGCGGUGAAAUGCGUAGAUAUCUGGAGGAAUACCGGUGGCGAAGGCGGCAUCCUGGACCAUUACUGACGCUGAGGCGCGAAAGCUAGGGGAUCAAACAGG